GUGAAGACACGUUGCCAGAACCAGCUGAAGCGGAGGAGGAGUCGCAGCGACCGUAUGGCGAGCCGGGCGAGGGCCCGCAGGAGCACAACGGGCAGAACCGGCCGAGCGGAGCACAGCAGCGGCCUCUGUGAAAUUCACUUUCUCCCUCUGGUUGUGGGAGUGAAAGAUAGCAACCGAACCCAACGCCUGCACUGUAUCACCCAGACUUUGCCAGAUGCCCGCAGCCUUUGCCACUGACCAGUCCCAGCACACCCAUCUCCAGCUGUGAGCUCAAUAAAAACACCCGCCGGUGCCAUCAGCAACGCCUGGCCACACACCUGUCCUGCCGCCUCUACCAGACCUGUGAUCAUGCUGUUCUCCUGUCAGGUGGCUGGCAGAAGCAGAUAACAUACCAACAACAUGCAAAGAACUUGCAGCUCUUCUACCAGAUGCUGAGGAACAACGGCUUCCACAAGGACCACAUAAAGACAUUCUUUGCUGGGAAUGGACAGGUAGCAGCUAAAGAGACUGAGGGGAUGUAUCCAGCCACCGAGAAAGAGGUGAUCAGGAAUCACAUUUCGUACAUCUGCCGGAAGCAGCACUGUGUGGAUUCUCUGGUUCUGUACCUGAACAGCCCCACAUGCAACGACGGCACCAUGCUGCUCUGGGACCGCAAUAACAACGGC
rnacentral:lncRNA from 1 species